rnacentral:rRNA from 1 species
GACGGACGCUGACGGCGUGCUUAACACAUGCAAGUCGAGCGGUAAGGCCCUUUCGGGGGUACACGAGCGGCGAACGGGUGAGUAACACGUGGGUGACCUGCCCUUAGCUCUGGGAUAAGCCUGGGAAACUGGGUCUAAUACCGGAUAUGACUCCAUGACGCAUGUUGUGGGGUGGAAAGCCUUGUGCGGCUAGGGAUGGGCCCGCGGCCUAUCAGCUUGUUGGUGGGGUGAUGGCCACCAAGGCGACGACGGUAGCCGGCCUGAGAGGGCGACCGGCCACACUGGGACUGAGACACGGCCCAGACUCCUACGGGAGGCAGCAGUGGGGAAUCUUGCGCAAUGGGCGAAAGCCUGACGCAGCGACGCCGCGUGAGGGAUGACGGCCUCGG